rnacentral:rRNA from 1 species
AGUGAACGCUGGCGGUAGGCCUAACACAUGCAAGUCGAACGGCAGCACAGUAAGAGCUUGCUCUUACGGGUGGCGAGUGGCGGACGGGUGAGGAAUACAUCGGAAUCUACUUUUUCGUGGGGGAUAACGUAGGGAAACUUACGCUAAUACCGCAUACGACCUACGGGUGAAAGCAGGGGAUCUUCGGACCUUGCGCGAUUGAAUGAGCCGAUGUCGGAUUAGCUAGUUGGCGGGGUAAAGGCCCACCAAGGCGACGAUCCGUAGCUGGUCUGAGAGGAUGAUCAGCCACACUGGAACUGAGACACGGUCCAGACUCCUACGGGAGGCAGCAGUGGGGAAUAUUGGACAAUGGGCGCAAGCCUGAUCCAGCCAUACCGCGUGGGUGAAGAAGGCCUUCGGGUUGUAAAGCCCUUUUGUUAGGAAAGAACAGCAGCAGGUUAAUACCCCGCUGUUCUGACGGUACCCAAAGAAUAAGCACCGGCUAACUUCGUG